UCUCCGUUGGUGAACCAGCGGAGGGAUCAUUACCGAGUUUACAACUCCCAAACCCCAUGUGAACCUUACCAAACGUUGCUUCGGCGGGAUGCCCCGGGCGCGGGCCGCAAGGCCUCAGCCCCGGAACCAGGCGCCCGCCGGAGGCCCAAACCAAACUCUUGUUUUUGUAGAAUCUUCUGAGUGGCCUUUUAGGCAAAAAAUGAGACAAAACUUUCAACAACGGAUCUCUUGGUUCUG
rnacentral:misc_RNA from 1 species